GAUCCUGGCUCAGGAUGAACGCUGGCGGCGUGCCUAACACAUGCAAGUCGAGCGACCUCUUCGGAGAGAGCGGCGGACGGGUGAGUAACGCGUGGGUAACCUGCCCUGUACACACGGAUAACAUACCGAAAGGUAUGCUAAUACGGGAUAAUAUAUAAGAGUCGCAUGACUUUUAUAUCAAAGAUUUUUCGGUACAGGAUGGACCCGCGUCUGAUUAGCUUGUUGGCGGGGUAACGGCCACAGGCG
rnacentral:rRNA from 1 species